UGAGCCCUCUGCCCAGAGUAAUGCCAGAGUGGAGGCCACGGCUGAAGGCAGAGGUGUUGGCCUGGGGUGGAGGGGGGAGAUUCCUCUGGGUGGGAGGUGACACUGGGCAGCCUUGGAUGAAGUGAAUACUGGGUGUGGGGAAGCAAAAAUAAAUAGAGAAACAAACGGAUUAAUUUUGCUUCUUUCCAGGGACUUGAUUUUCUACAAGUGGUGCUCCAAGAGGCUCCUACACUUCAGCAGGGAGGCGAGCACCGUUUUGAGGUGGCCGGGCUGGUGAGGAGGUGCAGACCCCAGCCAGCUGGAGGGGCUCUGCCCUGGUGGCGUUCCCACUCCCACCUAUUCGCAGGGCGCCGGGUAGGGCUGCAGGUGUUCUAUUGCCACCUGGCUUGCAGCGCAAGGAGGGGAAUCACCUGGCCUUCCCCUUCUCCCCUGCCCCGCUUCCUUUCUCUGCUCCCACAGGUGGAAGUCACCAGCGGAAACAACCCUUCACCGUUUGGAGGGCUGGGAGAGAGGGGCCACGAGGGCCCCGGGAGAGCCACCCGGGCUGCAGGCAAGGGGCGGGGCAGGGACCGAAGGCUGAAGGGCAAGGGGAGCUCAGGGAAUGAACGAUCGCUCCUGACUGAUGUUUAACCCAGGACUCCGAGACUCCGACUGGUCACAGUCCUGCAGACCUCCAGGUCCUGCACCAGCGGCGCAGCGCUCCACUGGCCCGGAACGCGCACACCGGGGGAAAUGAUUGGGGGCAGGAGCUGCUUUUUCAAUGAGAAGAAUGAACAGACCUAGUAGGCAUUGCCUUCAGACCCAGUUUUGGUAGACCCUAUUAUUGAAACCCGGAACAACUAAAUCUUCAUGAAAAUUGUAUGGUAUCAACUUCAAAACAGGGAGAAGAAAAAAAAUCACUAAUUGAAUAAAAUGAGUAUUCCAGAAAUAGA